rnacentral:rRNA from 1 species
UACGAAGGAUGCGAGCGUUAUCCGGAUUUAUUGGGUUUAAAGGGAGCGUAGGCGGUCUUAUAAGUCAGUGGUGAAAUCCUAUCGCUUAACGAUAGACGUGCCAUUGAUACUGUAGGACUUGAGUACAGAUGCCGUUGGCGGAAUGUGUCAUGUAGCGGUGAAAUGCAUAGAUAUGACACAGAACACCGAUUGCGAAGGCAGCUGACGAAACUGUAACUGACGCUGAGGCUCGAAAGCGUGGGGAGCGAACAGG